ensembl:lncRNA
CUUGGCUCUCACUGGCAUUGUGAGUGAGGUCAUAGAGGGAGGGGACCAUGGAGAAGACCUCUAGGAGGGCAGCAGUAAAACACGCCAUCGGGAGGCAGGAGAGGACCCUUGAGUCAUGGGGUCCUUGGCAGCUGUCUUUGAGAGGAGACCACUUCAAUUUCUGUGAGGUUCCUUCCUUUAGACCUACCAGUCCUGGAUGAACCUGUCAAUCAAAAAAUAUUGCCUGCUGUGUCAGUUAACCAAGGAUGUUGCAGCCCUCAAGCCACCUCAGACUGACAGUGAGCCCUGAGAGAACUCAGGGUGGAAUCAAGAGGACUGCCAAGCCCUCAGCCCCUGCAGCCACGCCCUCGACAAUGGUGCACCCUGAAGAGACUCAGGAUGGGAAAGGAAAGCACAGGAUACUGCACCUGGAUAGCUGAGCAUUGGCAGGCGGGUUCUUUACCACUAAGUCCACCUGGAAAACCCUCAUGGAAGAUCACAGACCCAUUAAAGGGAUAAAGAGCCCUCCCAGUGUGUUAGGGCUUAGACCUGUCCUGAAGAACUUCACUUAUUCUUGACCCAAAGGCGAUAGGACACAUCGUGGUGAAAAGGUGGGUGAGAUAUCUGAACUAAGUG